rnacentral:rRNA from 1 species
AGAGUUUGAUCCUGGCUCAGGAUGAACGCUAGCGGCAGGCUUAACACAUGCAAGUCGAGGGGCAGCGGGGUGUAGCAAUACACUGCCGGCGACCGGCGCACGGGUGCGUAACGCGUAUGCAACCUACCCAUAACAGGGGCAUAACACUGAGAAAUUGGUACUAAUUCCCCAUAACAUUCGAAGAGGCAUCUCUUUGGGUUGAAAACUCCGGUGUUAUGGAUGGGCAUGCGUUGUAUUAGCUAGUUGGUACGGGG